UGCAGUCGAGCGGACAGAAGGGAGCUUGCUCCCGGAUGUUAGCGGCGGACGGGUGAGUAACACGUGGGUAACCUGCCUGUAAGACUGGGAUAACUCCGGGAAACCGGAGCUAAUACCGGAUAGUUCCUUGAACCGCAUGGUUCAAGGAUGAAAGACGGUUUCGGCUGUCACUUACAGAUGGACCCGCGGCGCAUUAGCUAGUUGGUGGGGUAAUGGCUCACCAAGGCGACGAUGCGUAGCCGACCUGAGAGGGUGAUCGGCCACACUGGGACUGAGACACGGCCCAGACUCCUACGGGAGGCAGCAGUAGGGAAUCUUCCGCAAUGGACGAAAGUCUGACGGAGCAACGCCGCGUGAGUGAUGAAGGUUUUCGGAUCGUAAAGCUCUGUUGUUAGGGAAGAACAAGUGCGAGAGUAACUGCUCGCACCUUGACGGUACCUAACCAGAAAGCCACGGCUAACUACGUGCCAGCAGCCGCGGUAAUACGUAGGUGGCAAGCGUUGUCCGGAAUUAUUGGGCGUAAAGGGCUCGCAGGCGGUUUCUUAAGUCUGAUGUGAAAGCCCCCGGCUCAACCGGGGAGGGUCAUUGGAAACUGGGAAACUUGAGUGCAGAAGAGGAGAGUGGAAUUCCACGUGUAGCGGUGAAAUGCGUAGAGAUGUGGAGGAACACCAGUGGCGAAGGCGACUCUCUGGUCUGUAACUGACGCUGAGGAGCGAAAGCGUGGGGAGCGAACAGGAUUAGAUACCCUGGUAGUCCACGCCGUAAACGAUGAGUGCUAAGUGUUAGGGGGUUUCCGCCCCUUAGUGCUGCAGCUAACGCAUUAAGCACUCCGCCUGGGGAGUACGGUCGCAAGACUGAAACUCAAAGGAAUUGACGGGGGCCCGCACAAGCGGUGGAGCAUGUGGUUUAAUUCGAAGCAACGCGAAGAACCUUACCAGGUCUUGACAUCCUCUGACAACCCUAGAGAUAGGGCUUUCCCUUCGGGGACAGAGUGACAGGUGGUGCAUGGUUGUCGUCAGCUCGUGUCGUGAGAUGUUGGGUUAAGUCCCGCAACGAGCGCAACCCUUGAUCUUAGUUGCCAGCA
rnacentral:rRNA from 1 species